UGGGAACUUUGUGAAGAUCAAAGGAGAA
rnacentral:piRNA from 1 species